GACGAACGCUGGCGGCGUGCCUAAUACAUGCCAGUUGAGCGCUGAAGGUUGGUACUUGUACCAACUGGAUGAGCAGCGAACGGGUGAGUAACGCGUGGGGAAUCUGCCUUUGAGCGGGGGACAACAUUUGGAAACGAAUGCUAAUACCGCAUAAAAACUUUAAACACAAGUUUUAAGUUUGAAAGAUGCAAUUGCAUCACUCAAAGAUGAUCCCGCGUUGUAUUAGCUAGUUGGUGAGGUAAAGGCUCACCAAGGCGAUGAUACAUAGCCGACCUGAGAGGGUGAUCGGCCACAUUGGGACUGAGACACGGCCCAAACUCCUACGGGAGGCAGCAGUAGGGAAUCUUCGGCAAUGGACGAAAGUCUGACCGAGCAACGCCGCGUGAGUGAAGAAGGUUUUCGGAUCGUAAAACUCUGUUGGUAGAGAAGAACGUUGGUGAGAGUGGAAAGCUCAUCAAGUGACGGUAACUACACAGAAAGGGACGGCUAACUACGUG
rnacentral:rRNA from 1 species